rnacentral:lncRNA from 1 species
CGAGCUCAGGGGCCACUCCGUGCGCCUUGCUGGGCUUGCUUGCCUCGCAGCCUCCAUAGGCGCCGGGCAGCCCUGACCUCACCCCAUCCUCCAGCCUCAGAAACACCCGGUUGGUCCCAUCUCUGUCCUUGCCUCUCCUGGUGGCCUCUGCUGGGAGUGGCUCUCCACCUUAAAGCGAUUCUGUGGCCUGACCCAUGGCUGGGUGGCCCAGCCUGUAGGUCAGGGUGCAGAGCACUGGGUGGGGAGACAGCGCCGCUUCCAGGGCUUCGGGAAGGAGGAUGGCUACCUGCCUGCUGCAGUCCUGGGAUUAAUCAGCAGGCGUCUGCUGUGUACUGUGUACUGUGCCAUUGGUGGAGAGCUCUUAGCCUGUUGGUAAAAAGUAAUAUUCAAGAAAGCUCGAUGCAAGUGUUGGCCUUGUGGAGGUCCCACACUGACUCCCCCCCCUCCCAAGUGCUUGCCUGCUCCUGGUGGCCUUGAGCUCCUGGUGGCAGCCAAAACCAGAGCCCCUUGUCUGCCUCCAUCCCAGUCCACUGCAGUGUCACAGCCCCAAGGACAACAGGAUGCUUUCUCUGGUCUGGUCUGAGGACAGUGUUCCACAGACAGCAGGUGUCCAGCGACUGCCCAGCCAGCCAGGCCCAGCCCAACUUGUGAAGGAGGAAGAGACCCGAGAUGCCCAGAGGUGAUGCUCUCUGCAACUCCCAAGGCCAGCAUGUCCAGGCUGGCAGCUCCAAGACUGAGCUCUGCUUUCACAGCUUCGGACCCCACAGAGGAUGUCCCCUCUGAGGCCAGCAUGGCAGAGAGGUCACCUGUGAGGCACGGGACCUGUGAUCCUAGCAGAGCCACCUCCCAGCCUUCUCCUCCCAGAUGUGAGAGAGACCACUUGCCCUGCAGAAAAGACCUUCCCAAAGUUACUCAAGCUCAAGAGCCCAGACUCCUCAACAACUUUGCAGACUUCUUCAGACUACUGAGUGACCUUCACUUGGCCCAGUGCAAGGGGAUCAUUAUGGAAGCACAAUGUUAUUUGAGUAUAAGGGAUGGCUCUGCUGGCAUGGUGAACCUGGACCCAGGUGUCGUGAAAGCUUGCCAAUAAACGUGAGUUGAACUUCCUGUUA